AUUGAACGCUGGCGGCAGGCCUAACACAUGCAAGUCUAACGAGUGGAGGACGGGUGAGUAAUGACUGGGAAACUGCCCGAUGGAGGGGGAUAACUACUGGACACGGUAGCUAAUACCGCAUACCAUCAGAUUAGGCCAGAUGUGAUUAGCAAGUUGGUGGGGUAAAGGCUCACCAAGGCGACGAUCCCUAGCUGGUCUGUGAGGAUGACCAUGCACACUGGAACAAGGAUACAGUCCAGACUCAGACGGGAGGCAGCAGGGAGGAAUAUUACACAAAGGGCGCAACCCUCAUACAACCAUGCCACGUGUAUGAUGAAGGCCUACGGGUUGUAAAGUACUUUCAGCGGGUGGACGUUACACGACGAAGAAGCCCCGGCUAACUCGGUGCAAGCAGCCGCGAUAAUUG
rnacentral:rRNA from 1 species